UCUCGCAAGAGGCGAUGGAGGUGAGCAAAGGAAACCGCCCCGCUAGGUGAUUUUUUUUUUAACUCCUGGUGACUCCGUGGAAAGGAGAGAAGAAAAAGGAGGGAGAAAUCAAGAACUUAUUCUCAAGUCCCAGUAAUGAUGCAUGAAGAUGCCCUGCUUACAUUUUAAAGGAAAUGUCACUUUCAUCUCAUAACUAGCCCACUAAAAAGGAAACCUGCCGGUGCAGUUGUUCCAGUGUUAAAAUAGUAUCUUCCUUCUUCUGACAGCAAUCAUAUCUGGAGGGCAUAAAAGCUCUGACCACCUGACCUGAUCCUUAGUCUGAAGAGGAAAUUACAAUGGAGAGGAUACCACCCAUUAUGCUGCAGGGAGGAGGAAAUUACAAAAGGGAACCAGCGGUUUAGAAGCACAGAUCAGAGAGCCAGAAGUGACAGAGGAGAAAAUGGACUGAGGCUGUUAUCUCUGGGCAGGAUCAAUUGGGAGAAAAGAGAGCAAAAGCGACUUGAAGCUUGCAAGGAAUCCACAAACUGCAACAUUUUGUAGAAAGGUAGCACCCACCCCUCUCCUAGAAAAAUGAAAUAUUUUAGGAAAUACUGAAAAGGCAGAAUAUUACAGUUCCCUGGAUGACAAAAGGAGAAACAUGUUUUAAGGACAAAGCAGCUUCCUGCAGCUCCCUGUCCGCUCCCCCCUACUCCUUAAGUUCCAGGGUGAUGGGAUUAAGACAUGGCCCUCAGAACAUGAGAGGAUUAGCCCUCUACAAAUCUCACCACAUGGCACCUGGGAAGAUUACAUCAGUCAGCAAGGCUCAACCAAGCCUGGGAGACAG